GGCGGCGAGCGGCGGACGGGUGAGGAAUGCAGUCGGAAUCUGCCUCGUUGUGGGGGAUAACGUAGGGAAACUUACGCUAAUACCGCAUACGACCUACGGGUGAAAGUGGGGGACCUUCGGGCCUCACGCGAUGAGAUGAGCCGAUGCCGGAUUAGCUAGUUGGCGGGGUAAAGGCCCACCAAGGCGACGAUCCGUAGCUGGUCUGAGAGGAUGAUCAGCCACACUGGAACUGAGACACGGUCCAGACUCCUACGGGAGGCAGCAGUGGGGAAUAUUGGACAAUGGGGGCAACCCUGAUCCAGCCAUGCCGCGUGUGUGAAGAAGGCCUUCGGGUUGUAAAGCACUUUUGUUGGGGAAGAAACCGGCCGGGUUAAUACCCUGGUUGAAUGACGGUACCCAAAGAAUAAGCACCGGCUAACUUCGUG
rnacentral:rRNA from 1 species